UACGUAGGGUCCGAGCGUUGUCCGGAAUUAUUGGGCGUAAAGGGCUCGUAGGCGGUCUGUUGCGUCGGGAGUGAAAACUUACAGCUUAACUGUGAGCGUGCUUCCGAUACGGGCAGACUUGAGGUAUUCAGGGGAGAACGGAAUUCCUGGUGUAGCGGUGAAAUUCGUAGAUAUCGGGAGGAACACCAGUGGCGAAGGCGGCGAUCUGGGCAGAUACUGACGCUGAGGUGCGAAAGCGUGGGGAGCAAACAGG
rnacentral:rRNA from 1 species